rnacentral:rRNA from 1 species
AUACGGAGGAUCCGAGCGUUAUCCGGAUUUAUUGGGUUUAAAGGGCGCGCAGGCGGCCAUUUAAGUCAGCGGUUAAAUCGUGGGGCUCAACCCCAUUCUGCCGUUGAUACUGGGUGGCUUGAUUGCGGUCGAGGUUGGCGGAAUUCGUUGUGUAGCGGUGAAAUGCAUAGAUAUGACGAAGAACACCGAUUGCGUAGGCAGCUGGCCAGACCGCAAAUGACGCUCAUGCACGAAAGUGCGGGGAUCGAACAGGAUUAGAUACCCUGGUAGUCCGCACAGUAAACGAUGAAUACUUGUUUUCGGCGAUAUAAUGUCGGAGGCAAAGCGAAAGCGAUAAGUAUUCCACCUGGGGAGUACGCCGGCAACGGUGAAACUCAAAGGAAUUGACGGG